rnacentral:rRNA from 1 species
GGGUGAUGGUGUCGCGUCCCAUCAGGUAGUAGGCGGGGCAACGGCCCACGUAGCCGACGACGGGUAGCCGACUUGAGAGACCGACCGGCCACAUUGGUCCUGAGAUACGCCCCAGACUCCUACGGGAGGCAGCAGUGGAGAAUUUUGCGCAAUAGGGGCAACCGUGACGCAACAACGCCGCGUUCGGGACGAUGGCCUUUGGAUUAUAAACCUCUUUCAGCAGGGAAGAACCUAUGACGGUACUUGCAGAAGAAGCCCCGGCUAACUACGUGCCAGCAGCCGCGGUAAUACGUAGGUUGCGAGCGUUGUCCUGAUUUAUUGGGUGUAAAGGGCGUGUAGCCGGAGAUGCAAGUUGGGAGUGAAAUCCAUGGGCUCAACCCAUGAACUGCUUCCAAAACUGUAUCCCUUGAGUAUCGGAGAGGCAAGCGGAAUUCUUAGUGUAGCGGUGAAAUGCGUAGAUAUUAGGAGGAACACCAGUGGCGAAGGCGGCUUGCUGGACGACAACUGACGCUGAGGCGUGAAAGCGUGGGGAGCAAACAGGAUUAGAUACCCUGGUAGUCCACGCUGUGAACGAUGAAUAGUAGGUGUGGGAGGACUGGCCCCUUCCGUGCCGCAGUUAACACAAUAAGUAUUCCACUUGGGGAGUGGGACCGCAAGGUUGAAACUCAAAGGAAUUGACGGGGGCCCGCUCAAGCAGUGGAUUAUGUGGUUUAAUUAGAUUCAACGUGAAGAACCUUACCAGGACUUGACAUCCAACUAAUGAAGUAGAGAUACAUCAGGUGCCCUUCGGGGAAAGUUGAGACAGGAGGUGCAUGGUUGUCGUCAGCUCGUGUUGUGAGAUGUGUGGGUUAAGUCCCGCAACGAGCGCAACCCCUAUUGUUAGUUGCUACGAAAGAGCACUCUAGCGAGACUGCCGCCGACAAAACGGAGGAAGGCGGGGACGACGUCAAAUCAUCAUGCCCCUUAUGUCUUGGGCUACACACGUAAUACAAUGGUGGAAAACAGAGGGAAGCAAAGCCGUGAGGCAGAGCAAAACCCUAAAAGCCAUGUCAGUUCGGAUUGCAGGCUGCAACUCGCCUGCAUGAAGCUGGAAUUGAUAGUAAUCGCGGAUCAGAAUGCCGCGGUGAAUACGUUCCCGGCCCUUGCACACACCGCCCGUCA